UGUAGCAAUACACAGUCGAGCGGCGAACGGGUGAGUNACACGUGGAUUAUCUGCCCUAAGGUGGGGGAUAACCCGGGGAAACUCGGGCUAAUACCGCAUAAUACCGAGAGGUCAAAGGGGGCUCGCAAGGGCUCUCGCCAAUGGAGGAGUCCGCGUCCGAUUAGCUAGUUGGUAGGGUAAUGGCCUACCAAGGCGACGAUCGGUAGCCGGCCUGAGAGGGUGAUCGGCCACACUGGAACUGAGACACGGUCCAGACUCCUACGGGAGGCAGCAGUGGGGAAUUUUGCGCAAUGGGCUAACGCCUGACGCAGCAACGCCGCGUGGAGGAUGAAGGUCUUUGGAUUGUAAACUCCUGUCAGCAGGGAAAAAGCGAUAGGUGCUCAUACCACCUAAAGUUGAUUGUACCUGCAGAGGAAGCCCCGGCUAACUCUGUGCCAGCAGCCGCGGUAAUACAGAGGGGGCAAGCGUUAUUCGGAAUUAUUGGGCGUAAAGGGCGCGUAGGCGGCCUGGCAAGUGAAAGGUGAAAUCCCUCGGCUUAACCGAGGAACUGCCUUUCAGACUGCUUGGCUUGAGACCGGGAGAGGUGAGUGGAAUUCCCAGCGUAGCGGUGAAAUGCGUAGAUAUUGGGAGGAACACCAGUGGCGAAGGCGGCUCACUGGACCGGUACUGACGCUGAGGCGCGAAAGCGUGGGGAGCAAACGGGAUUAGAUACCCCGGUAGUCCACGCCGUAAACGAUGAGUGCUUGGUGUAGCGGGUAUCGACCCCUGCUGUGCCGAAGUCAACACAUUAAGCACUCCGCCUGGGGAGUACGGUCGCAAGGCUG
rnacentral:rRNA from 1 species